GACGAACGCUGGCGGCGUGCUUAACACAUGCAAGUCGAACGGAAAGGUCCUGCUUUUGUGGGGUGCUCGAGUGGCGAACGGGUGAGUAACACGUGAGUAACCUGCCCUUGACUUUGGGAUAACUUCAGGAAACUGGGGCUAUAACAGGAUAGGAGCUCUUGAUCCACGGUGGGGGUUGGAAAGUUUCGGCGGUUGGGGAUGGUCUGGCGGCUUACCCGCUUGUUGGUGGGGUAGUGGCUUACCAAGGCUUCGACGGGUAGCCGGCCUGGGAGGGUGACCGGGCACAUGGCUACUGAGAUACGGCGCAGACUGGUACGUGACGCAGAAGUGGAGAGUAUUGCAGAAUGGGCGGGAGCCUGAUACGACGACGCCGCGUGCGGGAUACCGGGCUUCUGGUUGUGAACCGAUGUCGCCUGUGCCGUAGCGUUAGUGACGGUAAUGGGUAAAAAAGCACCGGCUAACUACGUG
rnacentral:rRNA from 1 species